GGUCAAUGAAGAGGUGGAGAGGGCACGGAAGGUUGGACACAUAGACUUCAUCCUAGGUCCUGGAGAUAAAAGCCUGGCUCCCAGGCAGAAGUGGCUGGAGCAGUUUCUGUGGGUGAGGAGUAUGCAUGCCUCAGGCACGGGCUGCUCUCAGAACACAAGGAUCCUACCAGAGCAGAUGGCAAGACGCAGAGUGAGAAAUGGGACAAACAGGGGUGUCACCAAAGACACGGACCAAAGAAGCAGGUCAGAGAAUUUGCCCUGUCUGGGGCUGGAGAGAUGGCUCAGCGGUUAAGAGCACUGACUGCUCUUCCAGAGGUUCAAAUCCCAGCAACCACAUGGUGGCCCACAACCAUCUGUAAUGAAAUGAGAUCUGAUGCCCUCUUCUGGUGUGUCUGAAGACAGCUACAGUGUACUCACAUAAAAUAAAGUCUUAAAAAAAAGAUUUGCCUUGUCUGAGUUUCUCUUUA